UACGUAGGGCGCAAGCGUUGUCCGGAAUUAUUGGGCGUAAAGAGCUCGUAGGCGGUUUGUCGCGUCGGCCGUGAAAACUUGGGGCUUAACCCCAAGCUUGCGGUCGAUACGGGCAGACUUGAGUUCGGCAGGGGAGACUGGAAUUCCUGGUGUAGCGGUGAAAUGCGCAGAUAUCAGGAGGAACACCGGUGGCGAAGGCGGGUCUCUGGGCCGACACUGACGCUGAGGAGCGAAAGCGUGGGGAGCGAACAGG
rnacentral:rRNA from 1 species